GUUGAACGCUAGCUACAGGCCUAACACAUGCAAGUCGAGCGACCGGCGGACGGGUGAGUAACACGUAACCACCUUGCGAUUGACUCGGGCAAAGCCUAUCGAUAGAAAGUAUAAUACACGAUCUUAAGCCUGGGGAUGCGUUCCAUUAGGUUGUUGGUGAGGUAACGCCUCACCAAGCCUUCGAUGGAUAGUGGUGCUGAGAGGAAGGUCACCCACAUUGGAACUGAGACACGGUCCAAACUCCUACGGGAGGCAGCAGUGAGGAAUAUUGGUCAAUGGGCGCUAGCCUGACCCAGCCAAGUAGCGUGAAGGAUGAAGGCUUAUGGGUCGUAAACUUCUUUUAUAUAAGAAUAUGUAUUAUAUGAAUAAGGAUCGGCUAACUCCGUGCCAGCCGCCGCGGUAAUAC
rnacentral:rRNA from 1 species